rnacentral:rRNA from 1 species
AUGUUUGGCACUAAAUCUCUGAAUGAUAAGCACGAUCGCAAUGUUGUUAGUAUGAACUCCUUGAAUAUCCAUAGUACUAAUGAUGAUUGCACUAGUUAUGAUGAAAAUGUCUCCUAUAAACAUGUCAAUUUUUGUGGAGUGCAUUGGGUUUGCAAGCAUAUACCAAAUAGGGAAGAUAGAUAUUGCAAGAGGAAUACGCAUUUAGAAACUAAAUUGUUGCAAGAAAGGCUAGAUGUCUGUGCUGAAAAUUUAAAUUUUCUUGGCCAUACUUGUGAGCUUUGCAAUGAACGUGGUCACUUAACCAUCCAAUGCAAAUUGUUUCAUGAUCUAAUCAUUUCCAAAAAUUGUGAUGACUUGAUUUCUCUUGCACAUCAUAAUGAACUCAGUUUGCUUAUGGGUUGCGAAGAAAUGAAACAUAUAACUAACUAUCUUCUAGUAUUUGCGCGUGAUAAACUUCUUGGCUUUGAUCUUGAGGAAAUUUAUAUGUAUUGUGCGCUGAAUUGUAUUUAA